GUUCAGUGUCACCUGUAGUUAUUUAUUUGAUUUUGGCAGCUCCUUUGGCCCCUGAUGUCUCCUAAAUACUUUUUCCUUGUUUGCUGUACAGAGACUACAACUCCCAGAAUUCAUUGCAGGUCUGUGUAAUGGCUGCCAGCCAACUGCUUACACUGCUUACACACCAUCAAACUGUGUGAGAGAAAAAGUGGAGGGAUUUUCCCACAGCAACCAGCUAACAAGCUGAGGUAAAGUGAAAGCUGAGCUGUGAUCGGCUGCAUAUGGGGAAAUCUCUCCACUUUUUAUCUCACACAGUUUGGUAAAUCUGGGCCACUGUACAUGUCUUUUCUUUUAAACUUUGCCUCCUGCCAUAAAUAUUUGUGUGUUCUGAAUGGCAGUAUAUUCAAAAGAAAAACAGCAGCUAUGUGCUCAGUUGUGACUAAGAAUCUUCACUGCUUUUCUCUCACACAGGGGGGGGGGGGAGGGGUGGCUGUACAGCCAGAGCUCUAGCCCAAUCAGAAAUCAGACAUAGAUCAGGUGAUGUUGUCUUGAUGGGAGUGGCUGCUCUCACUGAGGAGACAAAGUGGAUCUAAAAAAUGAUUUUUUCUCUCACUUGCUGCAACAGUUGUCCACGCACGCUCUAGUGGCUUUGAUGUCUGCCGUCAUCAACGUCGUGUUAGCAUAACCAUCCUCGGUACAGCUUCUACGUUGGUCCAGCGCUCUGUUCGUGUCGAGGUUGACCUACGUCGCUCAGUAAUCAAGGAGCUCCUCAACCAUCUGUGCGCCCCAAGCGUACAAGGCGACAGGCCGAGGAGGAGGAGGAGGAAGAGGAGGAGAUGAUGGAGGAGGAGGCGCAGGAGGAGCAGCCAGGGCCCUCCCACGGUGGCCAAAACCCCUCACCACCACCACAGGAAGAAGAGGAGGGGGAUUCCUCCACAAGUUCUGUGGCCUACACUCCAAAUCAGGAGAAGACCUGACAAAACAUCAGGAGAAGAUGCGAAAGCAUAUGGAGACACAUAGGCGCAUGAAGCGAAAACAAGAAGAAAAUGGAGGAGAUUGAGGAGAUAAUCAUUAAGUUAUCUUAGAUUUUUUAUUUUUUUUUUUUUUGUUAGAGUGGAUUUUAGGA